AAAAUUUAUUAAUAACAAAGCGGCAUGUUUUUCUAAUGGCAUCUCCUACAUCAUCCCAGUUAUGUUAAUUCCAGUCCAAUAUGUUUUAGCCAUUUUAACUGGAGUAAUUCCAGUACAAUAUAUAUUGUGAUGACAAUACUAAUGAACAAUAAGUUUCUUUGUGAAGUACCUAUCAAACACAUAAUUGUUAAUAAAUGUAUCCGCAUUCUUUUCUCUUAAACAAAUCAUUCAUUUCUAAAACACCAAGUUUGAUAGAACAUUUUACACUAUCUAUUAUAUUGAUCAAUAGAGAUUCCAGUAAUUCAAAAUAAAAAGGAAUCCAAUUAGAGAUAUUUUAGUUAUUGAAUUGAACCCAAAAAAAUAUUAAAUACAUUUGAAUAUGAGAUAGCUAUUGAUACUCUAUGCAAAAAGAGAUGAAAUGAACCAUGUUUAAAAUAAAGCAAGUGAAAUUGAAUCUGAGUUAUCUAUACAUUAUUGUUGCUAUGCAAAUUUAUUC
rnacentral:lncRNA from 1 species